rnacentral:rRNA from 1 species
CCUACGGGCGGCAGCAGUGAGGAAUAUUGGUCAAUGGGCGCAAGCCUGAACCAGCCAAGUAGCGUGAAGGAUGACGGCCCUACGGGUUGUAAACUUCUUUUAUACGGGAAUAACGCGACUCACGUGUGCGUUUUUGCAUGUACCUUAUGAAUAAGGACCGGCUAACUCCGUGACAGCAGCCGCGGUAAUACGGAGGGUCCGAGCGUUAUCCGGAUUUAUUGGGUUUAAAGGGAGCGUAGGUGGGUUGUUAAGUAAGUUGUGAAAUUUUGGGGCUCAACCGGAAAAUUGCAAUUGAUACUGGCAGGCUUGAGUACAGUUGAAGUAGGCGGAAUUCGUGGUGUAGCGGUGAAAUGCUUAGAUAUCACGAAGAACCCCGAUUGCGAAGGCAGCUUACUAAACUGCCACUGACAUUGAUGCUCGAAAGUGUGGGUAUCAAACAGGAUUAGAUACCCGGGUAGUC